rnacentral:lncRNA from 1 species
GUGCAAUUUACAAACUUCUUAUUCUUAACUUCAUGUCAACUAAAACAUAUAUUCAUAAUCUAACUUUCAAAUAAAAACAUAGUUCAAUAAUUAUAACACCUUAUUACAAAUCUUCGAGAAAAAAACACAUGAGAACGAAAACCUAAAAUACUAAAGCAGAUAAUCCUCUAGUCAUGGUAGGUAUGAGAGGGUCCUAUGAUUCUUGAAAUGAUGAACCUUUUAAUUGUUGCUUCUUCUAAUCCUUCUUCUCCCUUUUUAUUUUCUUCCUAGCCAUGAUUCCUUCUUCUUCCUUCAAAACUUGCUCUUCAAUCAAAAUAUCUCUCCCUUACCUAUAUUUUGGAAUCUCCCUCCACGCCUCCCUCUUUUCUUUUUCAUUUUUUCAAGUAGAUAAGACAUAUAAAGUAGAUUCCUCUACUCUACCAACCUAUCCCUUCUAUACAUAUAUUUGACCUCCCUUAAAGAAACCGUUCAGUUUUUCCUUUUUAUUUUUAUUUUUAUUUAUUAUCAUUAUCAUUAUAUAUAUAAAAGUCGGGGUUUACUAUAACUAACCUCUACUUGAAUGUUUGAUACAAGCGCAUAUUUUCA